GAUGAACGCUGGCGGCGUGCCUAAUACAUGCAAGUCGAGCGAACGGACGAGAAUUUUGCUUCUCUCGUGUUAGCGGCGGGCGGGUGACUAACACGUGGAUAACCUUCCUAUAAGGCUUGGAUCACUGCGGGAAACCGUAGUUAAGACCGGAUAAUAUUUUGAACCGGAUGGUUGAAAAGUGAAAUACGUUCUUGCUGAGACUGAUAGCUGUAUGCGUGCUGGAUUGGCUAGGUGGUACGGUAACGGCUUACGAUGGCAACGAUGCAUAGCCGACCUGAGAGGGUGAACCGCCACACAGGAGCUGAGACACGGUCCAGAGUCCUACGGGAGGCAGCAGUAGGGAAUGUUCGGCAAUGGGCGAAAGCCUGACGGAGCAACGCCGCGCGAGUGAUGAAGGGCUGCGGAUCGUAUGACGCUGUUAGGAUGGAAAAACAUAUGUGUAAGGAACGGUGCACAUCUUGACGGUACCUAGACAGGAAGCAACGGCUAACUACGUG
rnacentral:rRNA from 1 species